UACCGAUGGGAAGCUUUCUGGUCUCCUGUCUAUGGACACAUUGCUGUGAAGAUGUUCAGAAGGGAGACUCUGCUAGUGUGCAUUUCUCAUUUAGUUUCCAUGUAAUCUGACUGCUUUUCUGCUCCCCGGUCCUACCUGUGGAUCAAAAAGUAAUAAUACCAUUUCCCAAUAGACAGCACCACCUCUUUCACCGAAUUUUUAAUUAUUAUUAUCUUUAUUUUUUUGUGGUUAAUGCAACAGAAAUUGCAACUGAGCUGCAGGACAAGAGCUUAGCAGCCCUAGAAGACACCAGCUCUGGCCUCACUGGAGCCAGACACAAGAGCUCAGCAAGCAUGGAUCAAAGCAUGCAGCAACUCUGCAUUUGAAGGUGGACCAAGAAAACGGUACCAGGCUCAUCUACCACAGCUGGGAAGGAACUGAAGCCACUCUCAGCAACUGUGUUCUCCCCCACUCCUCCCUAUCUGCAGCAAGAAGACUCCUUUAAUUCCCUUUGCCUGGACGCACAUCUGGGCAGAAAAGGCAGAGUGACUGAUCCAGGUUGGGAUGUAUUACUGUUUUGCACAGAAAUCAAUCCUGCCUCGCUACAAAUGUGAAAGGGCUACCUGAGAUGACACUGAAAAAUACUAACAAUACAUUUACUUCAAAGGAGAUCAAAGCAGAAGAGACAGUUCUGGGGAAUAACGUGAGCAGAAUGUUUUCUGAAUGGUCACUGCACCUGAUCUUCC
rnacentral:lncRNA from 1 species